UACAGAGGAGCCAAGCGUUGUCCGGAUUGACUGGGCGUAAAGCGCACGCAGGCGGAUGCGCGCGUGGGGUGUGAAAUCUGGCCGCUUAACGGCCAGGCGCCAUCCCAUACGGCGCGACUGGAGGGCUGCAGAGGUCGAUGGAAUUGCCGGUGUAGUGGUGAAAUGCGUAGAGAUCGGCAGGAACACCCAGGGGGAAACCAGUCGACUGGGCAGCACCUGACGCUGAGGUGCGAGAGCGUGGGGAGCGAACCGG
rnacentral:rRNA from 1 species